rnacentral:lncRNA from 1 species
GCUUGAUAGCUCAUUCCUCUUUGUUGCUAUACUAUUUUGAAUUUCCACCAGCAAUGAAUGAGAAUUGCUGUCGCCCCUCAUUUUCAUCAGCAAGUGAGUGGAUCAUGGAGUCCAAAUUCCCUUCAAGCAAAC